rnacentral:rRNA from 1 species
AGCGAACGCUGGCGGCAGGCUUAACACAUGCAAGUCGAGCGGGACUUUCGGGGUCAGCGGCGGACGGGUGAGUAACGCGUGGGAACGUGCCCUCUGGUUCGGAAUAACUCAGGGAAACUUGAGCUAAUACCGGAUACGCCCUUUUGGGGAAAGGCUUGCUGCCGGAGGAUCGGCCCGCGUCUGAUUAGCUAGUUGGUGAGGUAACGGCUCACCAAGGCGACGAUCAGUAGCUGGUCUGAGAGGAUGAUCAGCCACACUGGGACUGAGACACGGCCCAGACUCCUACGGGAGGCAGCAGUGGGGAAUAUUGGACAAUGGGCGCAAGCCUGAUCCAGCCAUGCCGCGUGAGUGAUGAAGGCCUUAGGGUUGUAAAGCUCUUUUAUCCGGGACGAUAAUGACGGUACCGGAGGAAUAAGCCCCGGCUAACUUCGUG